CCUGGGUGUGGUGGCGCAUGCCUGUAAUCCCAGCACCUUGGGAGGCUGAGGUGGGUGGAUCACCUGAGGUCAGGAGUUUGAGAAAAGCCUGGCCAACAUGGUGAAACCCCAUCUCUA
ensembl:misc_RNA Metazoa_SRP Metazoan signal recognition particle RNA